CAGGCUAUCAAGAGUAUGCUGAGGAACAAUCCAUGUAAUGGAAGAAGCAACAUCUAAUUGUCUUCUUCCAUGUACUAGAAGAAGCUAUAGUGGAGGCUGUCAAUGCUAGGGAGGGGUGAAGGGAGAUGGCCACUCUGUGGCUGCGUUGUUUCUUGUACUGUACUGACAUUAUUUAAUUUAGGAUUGAAAAGAUGAAUGUAUUCAAAUUUUUGUUUUUUGUAAAGACUAUUUUGCAAUGCCAAGUUAUUCAAACAAAUGUAGUAAGACAUGAAUGUUGUGAUGGACAAUAUACUACAACAUGUUGAAAUUACAUAAGGUUCAAAAUAAUUAAACAAUCUUCAUGAAUUCAUUACAAAA
rnacentral:lncRNA from 1 species